rnacentral:rRNA from 1 species
UACAGAGGUCUCAAGCGUUGUUCGGAUUCAUUGGGCGUAAAGGGUGCGUAGGCGGCGCGGUAAGUCGGGUGUGAAAUCUCGGAGCUCAACUCCGAAACUGCAUUCGAUACUGCCGUGCUUGAGGACUGGAGAGGAGACUGGAAUUUACGGUGUAGCGGUGAAAUGCGUAGAUAUCGUAAGGAAGACCAGUGACGAAGGCGGGUCUCUGGACAGUUCCUGACGCUGAGGCACGAAGGUCAGGGGAGCAAACGGG